rnacentral:rRNA from 1 species
AUUGCCUGCAAGUGAAUACAUAGCUUGUUGGCGGCAGACGCGGGGAACUGAAACAUCUCAGUACCCGCAGGAAGAGAAAGAAAACUCGAUUCCCAUAGUAGCGGCGAGCGAAGUGGGAAGAGCCCAAACCGAGAAGCUUGCUUCUCGGGGUUGUAGGACUGGACAUUGGAGUUACCAAAGUUCGACGUAGUCGAAGUCAGCUGGAAAGCUGCGCCAUAGAAGGUGAA